rfam:Gossypium hirsutum cultivar TM-1 unplaced genomic scaffold scaffold120.1, whole genome shotgun sequence
AAUAGUUUUAUGCCACAUAAGUAUUCUUAUCCUGAAUUUCAGGAUUUUAUCCUGAAAAAAUCAAAUCCAAAUUAAAAUACUGAAAUUCAGGAUAAGAAUACUGAUGUGGCAUAAAACUAUU